rnacentral:lncRNA from 1 species
UACGUAAUCCAUUGCUUUUUUUUUACACUGUUUAGCUCUUGGCUCCCGCUGAAUGUACCAGCGCCACUGCUCGUUUUUCUCUAUUUGCUUUGCUUGCCGGUAGAUCCAUGCCGCUGCUUUGUUUGCUUGUGACUGAAAAAAUCAGCGUUUGGGCUGAGCCAGGCAGGCCUAGUUGCUGGGCUCGGUCGGUAGUGCGUUGCGUUUGGACUGUUCGGCCUGUUAGCUUGAAGGUGAGCUUGGCCCGGUGCGAUGGAACUAUUCUACGUAAAUCGUGGACUUGUGGGGAACGCGGUUUUUUUUUUCCCUAAGGCAUAUGUCCCCACUCUUCUACCCAUUGGAUUCGCUUUCAGAAGUGUACAAACACACGUCUUAAAACAGUUUCGCAUUACUUCUCAAAGUGAAUCUAAUAGGUAGAAGAGUGAGGGCACAUGCCCUCAAGGGCA